AGAGCUGACAAUUAAGCCGCGGGACCUCCGCGCCAGUGCCUCCAGCUGCCGCGCGCCAGCCUUGGCCGCCACAGCCCGCCUCCCGGCGCUCGCGGGACAGAGACCGCCUCAAAGAGCGGGCGCACCUGCCACCGCGCGCUGGAGCUGACCUCUCCCGGCGGCGGGCGGUUAGGGGAAAGUACCUGGGAGAAAGGUAGAGGAGGUAAGGGGACCCUUGGGGGGUGCCCCUACGGGCUACCAGGGUUGAACGCACAGGCAUGGUCACGUCGGGGUAUUGCCAAGCUUUUGGCGCAGCUGGUCGGGUGGCCAGGCUGCAUGCGGCUUAGCAGGAGACGUCCUGGGCUGUUUGCGCAGGACCUCUGGAGGCCCUCGAGAUGGUCGCAAGCGGAAAGGUGCUGGAGAAUCUGGUAAAAGCACCAUUGUGAAGCAGAUGAGGAUCCUGCAUGUUAAUGGGUUUAAUGGAGAGGGCGGCGAAGAGGACCCGCAGGCUGCAAGGAGCAACAGCGAUGGUGAGAAGGCAACCAAAGUGCAGGACAUCAAAAACAACCUGAAAGAGGCGAUUGAAACCAUUGUGGCCGCCAUGAGCAACCUGGUGCCCCCCGUGGAGCUGGCCAACCCCGAGAACCAGUUCAGAGUGGACUACAUUCUGAGUGUGAUGAACGUGCCUGACUUUGACUUCCCUCCCGAAUUCUAUGAGCACGCCAAGGCUCUGUGGGAGGAUGAAGGAGUGCGUGCCUGCUACGAACGCUCCAACGAGUACCAGCUGAUUGACUGUGCCCAGUACUUCCUGGACAAGAUCGAUGUGAUCAAGCAGGCUGACUAUGUGCCGAGCGAUCAGGACCUGCUUCGCUGCCGCGUCCUGACUUCUGGAAUCUUUGAGACCAAGUUCCAGGUGGACAAAGUCAACUUCCA
rnacentral:sRNA from 1 species